rnacentral:rRNA from 1 species
UACGGGAGGCAGCAGUGGGGAAUAUUGCACAAUGGGCGAAAGCCUGAUGCAGCUAUGCCGCGUGUAUGAAGAAGGCCUUAGGGUUGUAAAGUACUUUCAUCGGGGAGGAAAAACAAAACUAAUAAUUUUAUUUCUUGACGUUACCCGAAAAAGAAGCACCGGCUAACUCCGUGCCAGCAGCCGCGGUAAUACGGAGGGUGCUAGCGUUAAUCAGAAUUACUGGGCGUAAAGAGCACGUAGGUGGUUUUUUUAAGUCAGAUGUGAAUCCCUGGGCUUAACCUAGGAACUGCAUUUUGAAACUGAAAUACUAGAGUAUCGUAGAGGGAGGUAGAAUUCUAGGUGUAGCGGUGAAAUGCGUAGAUAUCUGGAGGAAUACCUGUGGCGAAAGCGGCCUCCUAAACGAAUACUGACACUGAGGUGCGAAAGCGUGGGGAGCAAACGAGGAUUAGAUACC